GACGAACGCUGGCGGCGUGCUUAACACAUGCAAGUCGAACGAUGAAGCCGGAGCUUGCUCUGGUGAAUUAGUGGCGAACGGGUGAGUAACACGUGAGUAACCUGCCCUUGACUCUGGGAUAACUGCUAGAAAUGGUAGCUAAUACCGGAUACGACCCUCGGAGGCAUCCCCAGGGGGUGGAAAGAAUUUCGGUCAAGGAUGGACCCGCGGCCUGUCAGCUAGUUGGUGAGGUAAUGGCUCACCAAGGCGACGACGGGUAGCCGGCCUGAGAGGGUGACCGGCCACACUGGGACUGAGACACGGCCCAGACUCCUACGGGAGGCAGCAGUGGGGAAUAUUGCACAAUGGGCGCAAACCUGAUGCAGCAACGCCGCGUGAGGGAUGACGGCCUUCGGGUUGUAAACCUCUUUUAGUAGGGAAGAAGCGAAAGUGACGGUACCUGCAGAAAAAGCACCGGCUAACUACGUGCCAGCAGCCGCCGCCG
rnacentral:rRNA from 1 species